UGACUGCGUACCUUUUGUAUAAUGGGUCAGCGACUUAUAUUCUGUAGCAAGGUUAACCGUAUAGGGGAGCCGGAGGGAAACCGAGUCUUAAUUGGGCGUUAAGUUGCAGGGUAUAGACCCGAAACCCGGUGAUCUAGCCAUGGGCAGGUUGAAGGUUGGGUAACACUAACUGGAGGACCGAACCGACUAAUGUUGAAAAAUUAGCGGAUGACCUGUGGCUGGGGGUGAAAGGCCAAUCAAACCGGGAGAUAGCUGGUUCUCCCCGAAAGCUAUUUAGGUAGCGCCUCGUGAACUCAUCUCCGGGGGUAGAGCACUGUUUCGGCUAGGGGGCCAUCCCGGCUUACCAACCCGAUGCAAACUGCGAAUACCGGAGAAUGUUAUCACGGGAGACACACGGCGGGUGCUAACGUCCGUCGUGAAGAGGGAAACAACCCAGACCGCCAGCUAAGGUCCCAAAGUCAUGGUUAAGUGGGAAACGAUGUGGGAAGGCCCAGACAGCCAGGAUGUUGGCUUAGAAGCAGCCAUCAUUUAAAGAAAGCGUAAUAGCUCACUGGUCGAGUCGGCCUGCGCGGAAGAUGUAACGGGGCUAAACCAUGCACCGAAGCUGCGGCAGCGACACUGUGUGUUGUUGGGUAGGGGAGCGUUCUGUAAGCCUGUGAAGGUGUGUCGUGAGGCAUGCUGGAGGUAUCAGAAGUGCGAAUGCUGACAUAAGUAACGAUAAAGCGGGUGAAAAGCCCGCUCGCCGGAAGACCAAGGGUUCCUGUCCAACGUUAAUCGGGGCAGGGUGAGUCGACCCCUAAGGCGAGGCCGAAAGGCGUAGUCGAUGGGAAACGGGUUAAUAUUCCCGUACUUGGUGUUACUGCGAAGGGGGGACGGAGAAGGCUAUGUUGGCCGGGCGACGGUUGUCCCGGUUUAAGCGUGUAGGUGUGUGUUCCAGGUAAAUCCGGUCCACUUUAACACUGAGGCGUGAUGACGAGGCACUACGGUGCUGAAGCAACAAAUGCCCUGCUUCCAGGAAAAGCCUCUAAGCAUCAGGUAACAUCAAAUCGUACCCCAAACCGACACAGGUGGUCAGGUAGAGAAUACCAAGGCGCUUGAGAGAACUCGGGUGAAGGAACUAGGCAAAAUGGUGCCGUAACUUCGGGAGAAGGCACGCUGACACGUAGGUGAAGUGAUUUACUCACGGAGCUGAAGUCAGUCGAAGAUACCAGCUGGCUGCAACUGUUUAUUAAAAACACAGCACUGUGCAAACACGAAAGUGGACGUAUACGGUGUGACGCCUGCCCGGUGCCGGAAGGUUAAUUGAUGGGGUCAGCGCAAGCGAAGCUCCUGAUCGAAGCCCCGGUAAACGGCGGCCGUAACUAUAACGGUCCUAAGGUAGCGAAAUUCCUUGUCGGGUAAGUUCCGACCUGCACGAAUGGCGUAAUGAUGGCCAGGCUGUCUCCACCCGAGACUCAGUGAAAUUGAACUCGCUGUGAAGAUGCAGUGUACCCGCGGCAAGACGGAAAGACCCCGUGAACCUUUACUAUAGCUUGACACUGAACAUUGAGCCUUGAUGUGUAGGAUAGGUGGGAGGCUUUGAAGCGUGGACGCCAGUCUGCGUGGAGCCGACCUUGAAAUACCACCCUUUAAUGUUUGAUGUUCUAACGUGGACCCGUAAUCCGGGUUGCGGACAGUGUCUGGUGGGUAGUUUGACUGGGGCGGUCUCCUCCUAAAGAGUAACGGAGGAGCACGAAGGUUGGCUAAUCCUGGUCGGACAUCAGGAGGUUAGUGCAAUGGCAUAAGCCAGCUUGACUGCGAGCGUGACGGCGCGAGCAGGUGCGAAAGCAGGUCAUAGUGAUCCGGUGGUUCUGAAUGGAAGGGCCAUCGCUCAACGGAUAAAAGGUACUCCGGGGAUAACAGGCUGAUACCGCCCAAGAGUUCAUAUCGACGGCGGUGUUUGGCACCUCGAUGUCGGCUCAUCACAUCCUGGGGCUGAAGUAGGUCCCAAGGGUAUGGCUGUUCGCCAUUUAAAGUGGUACGCGAGCUGGGUUUAGAACGUCGUGAGACAGUUCGGUCCCUAUCUGCCGUGGGCGCUGGAGAACUGAGGGGGGCUGCUCCUAGUACGAGAGGACCGGAGUGGACGCAUCACUGGUGUUCGGGUUGUCAUGCCAAUGGCACUGCCCGGUAGCUAAAUGCGGAAGAGAUAAGUGCUGAAAGCAUCUAAGCACGAAACUUGCCCCGAGAUGAGUUCU
rnacentral:rRNA from 1 species